GACGAACGCUGGCGGCGUGCUUAACACAUGCAAGUCGAGCGGUAAGGCCCUUUCGGGGGUACACGAGCGGCGAACGGGUGAGUAACACGUGGGUGACCUGCCCUUAGCUCUGGGAUAAGCCUGGGAAACUGGGUCUAAUACCGGAUAUGACUCCAUGACGCAUGUUGUGGGGUGGAAAGCCUUGUGCGGCUAGGGAUGGGCCUGCGGCCUAUCAGCUUGUUGGUGGGGUGAUGGCCUACCAAGGCGACGACGGGUAGCCGGCCUGAGAGGGCGACCGGCCACACUGGGACUGAGACACGGCCCAGACUCCUACGGGAGGCAGCAGUGGGGAAUCUUGCGCAAUGGGCGAAAGCCUGACGCAGCGACGCCGCGUGGGGAUGACGGCCUGUGU
rnacentral:rRNA from 1 species